UACGUAGGGUGCAAGCGUUGUCCGGAAUCAUUGGGCGUAAAGCGCGCGUAGGUGGCUUCGUAAGUCCGUUGUGAAAGUCAAAGGCUCAACCUUUGAAUGCCGAUGGAUACUGCGAAGCUAGAGUACGGAAGAGGCGAGUGGAAUUCCCGGUGUAGCGGUGAAAUGCGCAGAUAUCGGGAGGAACACCAAUUGCGAAGGCAGCUCGCUGGGACGGUACUGACGCUGAGGCGCGAAAGCGUGGGGAGCAAACAGG
rnacentral:rRNA from 1 species